AGUCAAUAGAUACCCAGGUAGUCCACGCCGUAAACGAUGAGUGCUAGGUGUAGGAGGUAUCGACUCCUUCUGUGCCGCAGUUAACACAAUAAGUACUCCGCCGUGGGAAGUACGGUCGCAAGAAUUAAAACUCAAAGGAAUUGGACGGGGGCCCGCACAAGCAGCGGAGCAUGUGGUUUAAUUCGAAGCAACGCGAAGAACCCUUACCUAGACUUGACAUCUCCUGAAUAGCGCAGAGAUGCGUGAAGCCCGUUCGGGGCAGGAAGACAGGUGGUGCAUGGUUGUCGUCAGCUCGUGUCGUGAGAUGUUGGGUUAAGUCCCGCAACGAGCGCAACCCCUAUUAUUAGUUGCUACCAUUAAGUUGAGCACUCUAAUGAGACUGCCCGGGUUAACCGGGAGGAAGGCGGGGAUGACGUCAAAUCAUCAUGCCCCUUAUGUCUAGGGCUACACACGUGCUACAAAUGGUGAGAACAACGAGAUGCAAUACCGCGAGGUGGAGCAAAACUUGAAAACUCAUCUCAGUUCGGAUU
rnacentral:rRNA from 1 species